rnacentral:rRNA from 1 species
UACGUAGGGUGCAAGCGUUAUCCGGAAUUAUUGGGCGUAAAGGGCUCGUAGGCGGUUCGUCGCGUCCGGUGUGAAAGCCCAUCGCUUAACGGUGGGUCUGCGCCGGGUACGGGCGGGCUGGAGUGCGGUAGGGGAGACUGGAAUUCUCGGUGUAACGGUGGAAUGUGUAGAUAUCGGGAAGAACACCUAUGGCGAAGGCAGGUCUCUGGGCUGUUACUGACGCUGAGGAGCGAAAGCGUGGGGAGCGAACAGG